AUUGAACGCUGGCGGCAGGCCUAACACAUGCAAGUCGAGCGAGCGGCGGACGGGUGAGUAAUGUAUGGGGACUGCCCGAUAGAGGGGGAUAACUACUGGAAACGGUGGCUAAUACCGCAUACUGUCGGAUAACCCAUAUGGGAUUAGCUAGUUGGUAAGGUAAUGGCUUACCUAGGCGACGAUCCCUAGCUGGUCUGAGAGGAUGAUCAGCCACACUGGGACUGAGACACGGCCCAGACUCCUACGGAGGCAGCAGUGGGGAAUUUUGGACAAUGGUCGCAAGUCUGAUCCAGCCAGGCCGCGUGACUGAAGAAGGCCUUCGGGUUGUAAAGGACUUUUGUCAGGGAAGCGGUACCUGAAGAGUAAGCACCGGCUAACUACGUGCCAGCAGCCGCGGUAAUAC
rnacentral:rRNA from 1 species